rnacentral:rRNA from 1 species
UUGCCGAGCCAUGCCGCGUGGAGGAUGAAGGUCCUCUGGAUUGUAAACUUCUUUUAUAUGGGGCGAAAAAAGGCUUUUCUAAGUCGUCUGACGAGUUGAUAUGAAUAAGCACCGGCUAACUGACGCCAGCAGCCGCGGUAAUACGGACGGGUGCAAGCGUUAUCCGGAUGACAGGGUUUAC